rnacentral:rRNA from 1 species
AACGUAGGGGGCAAGCGUUGCUCGGAAUCACUGGGUUUAAAGGGCUCGCAGGCGGGCAUAUAAGUCGUGGGUUAAAUCUCCGAGCUCAACUCGGAUACGCCUGCGAUACUGUAUGCCUCGAGAGAGAGAUAGGAAACGGGAAUUCCCGGUGUAACGGUGGAAUGUGUAGAUAUCGGGAGGAACACCAAUAGCGAAGGCAAGUUUCUGGCUCUCUUCUGACGCUCAUGAGCGAAAGCGUGGGUAGCAAACAGGAUUAGAUACCCUGGUAGUCCACGCCCUAAACGUUGGGUGCUAGGUGUCGGGGAAUGAUCCUCGGUGCCGCAGAGAAAUCGUUAAGCACCCCACCUGGGGAGUACGGUCGCAAGGCUGAA